rnacentral:rRNA from 1 species
ACUCCUACGGGAGGCAGCAGUGGGGAAUAUUGGACAAUGGGCGCAAGCCUGAUCCAGCAAUGCCGCGUGUGUGAAGAAGGCCUGCGGGUUGUAAAGCACUUUCAGUAGGGAGGAAAAGCUUGAGAAUAAUACUCUUGAGUGUUGACGUUACCUACAGAAGAAGCACCGGCUAACUCCGUGCCAGCAGC